GAAUCACUGCGGAGCUCUGGGAAGGCUCAAUGGCUUGCCGGCGGCCACCUCUUUCUUUUAUUUGUCCGGGGCUGCGGCGAUGCUGGGUUCGAACAGCGGCGGGUUCGUACUCAUCAGCAGAUUAGGAGGAGACUCUGGGUUCGUACGCCGACUGAGGCUUCUCCUUGAUGGGCUCCGGGCCCCGAAGUCUGGGGGCAGUACGAGGCCGGGGACAUGCAGGAAAGGGCCCUGGACCACUACAAAGCCGCAAAGAAAAAUUAGACGUUUCAUUUUAUAACAACUGCUGCUGCUACUACUAGAUACCAUUUGCUCAUUUAUAACAAUCUCAGUUGAUAGGAUGAAGCUUAAACACUUGGCAUUCAUCGUCUUUUUUAAUCCUCUCGCCAGUCUUACAGACUUGGACCUUCAGUUGUGAUGUUUCAUCAGACUUUUUUAUGAGACAGGGCCUCUCUUGGUUGCCCAGACUGGAGUUCUAGUGGCACAUUCGUAGCUCACUGCAGCUUCAAACUUCUGAACUCAAACGAUCCUCCCGCCUCUGCCUCCUGGGUAGCUGAAACCACAGGUGCAAGACACCACGCCCAGCUAAUUAUUUUUUGUAGUGACGGGGUUCUGUCAUAUUGCCUGGACUGGUCUCGAACUCCUGGGCUCAAGCGAUCCUCCUGCCUCGCCCUCCCAAAGUGCUUUACAUGACUGAGCCUCUGCGCCCAGCCAGACUUGGUUCUCAAGUUACUUCUGGCUGUUUACAAAAACUCAUUCCAAAGAUGUGCAGCGUAUUCUCAUAGCAUUUCCAAAUAAGCUCCAAGAAAUGUUUUUGGUAAUGGAAGCAGAAACAAGCCUGUAGCUCAUGACUGCUUUGGAGGAGCAACAUUUAUUUGGAUUUGUAAAUGUAGUGUGUUAAAAAUGACUUAUCACAGAUAUUUGGAAUCUUCCCACUGAUUUCUGCAUGGCUGGUUGUUUUUCUUCCCUUAAGUCUCAGUUAAUGUCAGAGGGCUUCUCUGACCUCUCCCACCCCACCACCAUCAACCUGUUUUCUUCAUAGCACCUAUCACAGUCUGAAGUGUCUUAUUAUGGCCUGACCUAUCCCUAACACCCAUUUAAAAAUGUAAGCAUGAAAGAAGGAACGUUGUCUAUCUUGUUCAUUGCUGAAUCCCCAGUGCCUAGAAUAGUACCAAUAAAUACUUGUUAAAUGAA
ensembl:lncRNA